AAACCUAACCCCAGAGUAUGCCAGAUCCGCCACAAAUACAGGGAUUCCACUGUUCACACGGACAGAGUCUCCCCUGUAUUUGCACGGCGUCGCACAAGUACAACAGUACAAACAUGAUACAACCACAACUAAAUGAAUAUUGAAAUCACCGUACAUUCAUACAUUCACCAUUCACAUCACAGAUUUGCAUUCAAUGUCUAAACAUAAAUCCAUAGAAAAUAUUUUAAAAACUGUUCCCUACACAGGAACCUUUAUUCUUUAAAAAUGCUACCGCGAGGUGUAGAAAACCUUUUAUUUUACAAAAUUCAGAAAUCCACAUUUUCAAAUGUAAAUAAAUACUAAACCACAUAAACCAAGUAAACUAUACAUCGACCGAAAUAAGAAGGGUAAGAAACUAAACCGAACAACCUGGGUCGGAAGCUCUAUCGACCACUACGAACGUACCUCACGUCUCGUCCCAAUACACAUCGCCUGCGAUACCUGAAAAAUGGUGGGGGAGGUGAGAAUAUGUAAACAUAUCUCCCCUCCCAGUGGGUACCGCAAGCCGAAGAAGGCAAGGAGUACUCACUAGUCACGGAGAACUAGAUAGAUAUAAGUGCUGGUAAGUAAAGAUGCUGAUAAGUAGGGAGCUGACAAGUAUAGAUGCAGGUAAAUAAAACAGUAGCUACAAUAAACAGAUAAGGAUGUACUGGAAAUAAACACUGCAGCUACUGUAUGCAUGUGUCGACUGCCGAUAACCUCAAAAGUACCCAAUCUCGCUGCCCUGUUGGUCCGAAGACCUCAGGCCCAUGCCACACUGCUCAACCUGUACCUGACCUUCGCAAUGAAGCCCCUGCGUC
rnacentral:lncRNA from 1 species